AGAGUUUGAUCCUGGCUCAGAUUGAACGCUGGCGGCAUGCUUUACACAUGCAAGUCGAACGGUAGGGUAGCAAUACCUGAGAGUGGCGAACGGGUGAGUAAUGCAUCGGAACAUGCCUAUUAGUGGGGGAUGGCCCGGCGAAAGCCGGAUUAAUACCGCAUACGAUCUAAGGAUGAAAGCAGGGGACCGCAAGGCCUUGCGCUAAUGGAGUGGCCGAUGUCAGAUCAGCUAGUUGGUGGGGUAAAGGCUCACCAAGGCGACGAUCUGUAGCUGGUUUGAGAGAACGACCAGCCACACUGGGACUGAGACACGGCCCAGACUCCUACGGGAGGCAGCAGUGGGGAAUUUUGGACAAUGGGCGCAAGCCUGAUCCAGCAAUGCCGCGUGCAGGAUGAUGGCCUUCGGGUUGUAAACUGCUUUUGUACGGAACGAAACGGCCUUGGCUAAUACCUGGGGCUAAUGACGGUACCGUAAGAAUAAGCACCGGCUAACUACGUG
rnacentral:rRNA from 1 species